AACUGUCCCUCCGCGCUCCUGCGGGGAAGGAGGGGCAAAAACUGGCUUCGCGCUGCGUCCGCGCGGGAGGCCGGGGUGGGCCGCGCCCCUCCGGGAAACCAGACGCGAGGGGGCGUGGCCAAGCACCAAGCUCCGCCCACCACUGCGGCCGAAGUGGGAGGGGGCCCUGCAGCUGGAGUAUGUCUUUCCCAUAAAUUCCAGAGCGGAUGUCUAUUGUCUGAUGCGUUUCUGCCUGUGACUCCAAUGAAAAGUGAAAACCACAAUGUGGAUAGGCCCACUCUGCAAGGUGCUUUAUGAAUUUUUCUGGAUGUGUCGUAAUAUCACCAUGAGGCAGAGAUGGCACUGUCUCCCAUUCGGCUAUCAGGUAAAGAAGACAUAUUUUGAAGAAAAAAUAGCUGAGCUAAGGAGGAAAAAGAAGAGCCAGGAGAUAACAUCCUGGCUGCGGUCAUGAAGGAGGGUAAGAUGCGGUAUUAAAAAUUGAGAAUAGGGCACAAAAUACACAUAACUGAAUUUUAUUAAUAGCCUAAAUGGAGUCCUUUGCAGAGAAUUUACUUGAAACCAGAUAUCUAGCUUAUACUGAAUUUUUUUUUUUUGUCUUCUCUUUGGUUGGAUUGUGAAAUAGAAAGCCUUCUCCAUAGGCCUGGUUAAAAUAUUUGAAAUGUGCAUAAUUCUUUUAAAAAGGGGAACGUAAACUGGCAAUGACCAUGAUCAAAACUGUUGCCCUUGUUAUUGCUAAAGCAGCAAUCGAUGACCUGAAGGGCAACUGCAAGAUCAGCAGAUCCUGUAGAGAUGCAGCCUCAUGAAGGGGGAGGUAGUAAGCCAGGCAGCAACACAGAGGAAAAGCGAUCUGAGCAGUGGAAAUCUUCUAGAACAGGAAGUGGACGACAUCUGCCCUUGACAGUUUUUAAGGUCAGGUAAAGCUCAAACAGGAAAAAAACUGGCCAUUGCAACGUUCUGGAAAAAAGGCACAGAAAAUAUUUCCCAAAAUAACUUCGUGGCAAAUAUCUUACUCUGACACUUACAGCAUCACUUGAUAAUGCAGCAAUCUGUCCUUUAGAUGACAAAGGGAAAUACAAGCCAAUCUGAUAACCAAGCCAGUUAUCUACUCAUUCUAAUAAAUGCAUAAACUUUAAAAAUGUAUGUUAUUAGGAGCUGGAUAAGGAAAUGAACGAUGCUGGUCCCUAGCCCUGACAGCGAUUGCUAGGAUCUGAAGACCCUGCUUGGAAAGGAAGCCUGUCUUCAUGGUAACUAGAAGCAGAGAAAAGAAGCUAAAAAUCAAGACACUGAUGUUGUCUUGGUGGUCCUUUCAUACUCUUAAGGUUUCUUACAUCAGAGGCCUUGUGCCAGGUCCAAUUCCUGAAGCUGCCUUUCCUUCCUGCUCCCUCUUGCUGUACCAGUAAAUUCCCUGAGACUGA